UAAACCAAAGUUCCAAAGAAAACAGAGCCUAGCCUUUGCUUCUAUACUUAGAGAAACAAGAACAUGGCCAAGUCGAGCAACAAAAUGGCAAUAGCUCUUAACUUGAUUCUGGUGGUUUCUCUGAUGAUUUCUAUAUCCGAGUGUAAACAACUUGGAGUUGGAGUAGAUGGUUUCGACUCUGCAAUACCGUCUAUGGUGCAGAGUUCGGUGAUUCCUGCGAGAGUGUUGUUGAAAAGUUCGGAUUAAGCAGUCUAGAGUUCUUCCUUUCCAUCAACCCUAAUAGCAACUGUGACCCCUUUGAGGGUCAAUGGCUUUGUGUUGAUGGCAACCCAAACGAAUGAUUUGCAACGUAUUCAUCAUUUUCAAAUGAUCGAGCAAAAGUGUUAAACCUAAUUGUAUUAAUAAAGAUGAUCGAGCUAGCUCUGAGGUGGCCUCCUCAACGUAUUAUGAGUGUUUCUUAACGUUGUUAAAUCUUAGAUGGUGUAGUUCAUCGCCUUGUCAAUGGAUAAUAUUCUAUACAAAGCUGCAGCAACUGUUACCUUUGAUUGUUCCGUACUG